AACGAACGCUGGCGGCAUGCCUAACACAUGCGAGUCGAACGAGACCUUCGGGUCUAGUGGCGCACGGGUGCGUAACGCGUGGGAACCUGCCCUUAGGUUCGGAAUAACUCCCCGAAAGGGGUGCUAACACCGGAUAAUGUCUUCGGACCAAAGAUUUAUCGCCUUUGGAUGGGCCCGCGUUGGAUUAGCUAGUUGGUAGGGUAAAAGCCUACCAAGGCGACGAUCCAUAGCUGGUCUGAGAGGAUGAUCAGCCACACUGGGACUGAGACACGGCCCAGACUCCUACGGGAGGCAGCAGUGGGGAAUAUUGGACAAUGGGCGAAAGCCUGAUUCAGCAAUGCCGCGUGAGUGAUGAAGGCAUUAGGGUUGUAAAGCUCUUUUACCCGGGAUGAUAAUGACAGUACCGGGAGAAUAAGCUCCGGCUAACUCCGUG
rnacentral:rRNA from 1 species